AAAGUGAAUACUCCCUAUGUAUCACAAAUUUCCAAGCCUGGAAAAAUCCUCUGAUAUAGCCCAGUUGUUUAUACUUGAGGAAACUUUGAUCUACUUCAGUUAAAUGAGAUAUUCUAAGUCACAUGCUAAUUGGUAGAAGAGCUGAGACCCAACACUCAGUUUCCUAUUUCCAAAUGCAUUCUCUUUCUUUAUAGCACACUGCCAAUUUAGUGCUAAAAACAUUCAAUUCAACAAAUACUUAUAAAGUAUUUCUUACAUACCCAGCACUGGCUGGGUAUCCUAGGGUUAUGAAAUAAAUGUAAGCGAGCCUAACUGCCCAUAAAAUCCUAUCGGUCUCACUGAGAAAAUAAGGUACAUGCACAUGAAACAUACACAUUCCGUCUUACAUUGUUAUGUAACUGUAUGUCUGAAACAGGGCUAACACAACUCUCUGCAAUGGUGGAAUAGUUCUGUAUCUUUGCUGGUCAGUGUGGUCACCGAGCACGUGAAAUGUGGACCGUGUGUCUAGGAAGCUGAGCACUGUAAGGGUACACAUGCCCCUCGACUCACCACAGGGUUACAUCCUGAGAAACUCACGUAAGUCAAAACUAUCUUAAGUCAAAAAUGCAUUUAAUAACCUGAUAAAUCCAUCAUCAUGUCAAAAAAUUGUUAAGUCACACCAUUUUUAAUUUUAACUAAUCUAAAUUUAAGUAGCCUCCUGUGGCUAGUGGCUACCAUCUUGGACAUCACAGGUUUACAAAAAUGGUUAUAGACCUGGAUGGAAAAUGUCACAUGCAUUCUGUCAUUUCUCCUUCUGUGCCUAUGCCAGAAACUACUGUUGAUCACAGAAUUCUCUCCCUCUGAAUGUGGGCUGUCUCUCAGGAUUCUCCAUGCAACCGUUUCCAACUGCCAUGACUUGGUGUAUAAAACGAGACCUUUCUGUCAUUCUCGAUACGGCUAAAAGGUGACAAAGGUGAGCUGGAGGAGGAAGUACUUGAGCUGAGCUUCGAAAGAUACAGUCAGACAGGUUCACGCCAUUCCUGGAACCUGUCCGUCAUUCCCUCUCCACGCUGGGACCCUCACGCAGGCUGUUUCGAGCUGUCCCUGCCACCUGUCCCAACCUGCUUUGCCUGGUGAACCAUUGCUUGUCCUUCAGUGCUCAGUUAAGGCGGCACUUGGACUCCAAGAAACCUUCCCUGAUGGUCAUCUCCAACCCCAGAUUUCAUUUCUUCCAGCAAGUCUGAGCAUUCGUAAGCUUUGCCGAAGAAAAAGCGACACAUCUGAUUGUGGAAGGCUGCCCAAGACUACUCUCAAUGCAGGGUAUGUGCAACUUAUUAUCUUUCUAAAAUCUGAAAUAUUUGGGGAUUCUAAAACACAUCUGAUACAAAGGGUUUCAGACGAGGGUGUCUCCGGUGUACAUCAACGUGGAAAAGUAACUUGUCUACGUCACACACCUAGUAAGUGGCGAAGCCAGGACUGUGCUCCGGGGUCUGAUCUGCAGCCCUCGCCACGGACGACACCAGCAUGCUGCCUCUCUGCCGGCUACACGGUGCAAUCUGAAGUCCAAUGACUGCCUCGACUGUUUUUCUGAUGUGGCUCCAGGAAACAGGAUUCAGCAAGGCGGACAGCUGGAGCGGCCUUGUGUGGCCACCUACGAAGACCGGAUUCAGGCUGGCAAUGGAGCGGCUGAGCCUGUGCUUUGGCACGUGGCUCCGACCCUGUGCUCACAGCCCAUACCUGGACAGAGAGCAGCCAAGUCUUUGGUGAUCAAACCAUCACCUCCCAGAGUUUCCACAGGAGCCGCUGGGAAGCAUCAGGGCAGCUCUGCUAGGGAUCUGGAAUGAUCUUUCCACAUGUUUUUAGAAUCACACUGUGCAGGGGAUGGGAAAGCUGAGGGCGGGUGUGAGCACGAGGUGUGCAGGACUGCCCG